AGAGUUUGAUUCUGGCUCAGAACGAACGCUGGCAGCGUGGAUUAGGCAUGCAAGUCGAACGAGAUUCCUUUUGAUAGCAAUAUUAGAGGGAUGACAGUGGCGAAAGGGCGAGUAGCGCGUGGGCAAUCUACCUCUUAGUUGGGGAUAACCCGCCGAAAGGUGGGCUAAUACCGGAUGUGGUCACUCUUCGCAUGAAGGGAUGACUAAAGGCGGGGAUCCUUCGGGACCUGUCGCUAAGAGAGGAGCCCGCGUACCAUCAGCUUGUUGGUGAGGUAACGGCCCACCAAGGCUUACGGUUAGCUGGUCUGAGAGGAUGGUCAGCCGCACUGGGACUGAGACACUGCCCAGACUCCUACGGGAGGCUGCAGUCGAGGAUCUUCUGCAAUGGGCGCAAGCCUGACAGAGCGACGCUGCGUGGAGGAUGAAGGCCUUCGGGUCGUAAACUCCUGUCAUCUGGGAAUAACUCUGGUGUAUCAAUACCACACCAGUCUGACGGUACCGGAAGAGGAAGCCACGGCCAACUCUGUGCCAGCAGCCGCGGUAAUACAGAGGCGGCAAGCGUUGUUCGGAUUUACUGGGCGUAAAGGGUGCGUAGGUGGUCUUGUAUGUCGGGCGUGAAAUCCCGUCGCUCAACGACGGAACUGCGUUCGAAACUGCGAGGCUAGAGUGCAGGAGGGGAGAGCGGAAUUCUUGGUGUAGCGGUGAAAUGCGUUGAUAUCAAGAGGAACACCGGCGGCGAAGGCGGCUCUCUGGAAUGCAACUGACACUGAGGCACGAAAGCCAGGGGAGCAAACAGGUUUAGAUACCCUGGUAGUCCUGGCUGUAAACGGUGUGCACUUGGUGUGGGGGGAAUUAACCCCCCCCGUGCCGAAGCUAACGCGUUAAGUGCACCGCCUGGGAAGUACGGUCGCAAGAUUAAAACUCAAAGAAAUUGACGGGGGCCCGCACAAGCGGAGGAGCAUGUGGCUUAAUUCGAUGCAACGCGAAGAACCUUACCAGGACUUGACAUGCAACUGCACGCCCCGCGAAAGCGGGGAAGCCUUCGAGGGUGUUGCACAGGUGCUGCAUGGCUGUCGUCAGUUCGUGCCGUGAGGUGUUGGGUUAAGUCCCGCAACGAACGCAACCCUUGUGUCUAGUUGCCACUCCCGAUGAUGAGUCGGGAAGCACUUUAGACAGACUGCCCUUACAAUUGGGAGGAAGGUGGGGAUGACGUCAAGUCAGUAUGGCCCUUACGUCCUGGGCUGCACACGUGCUACAAUGGCCGGUACAGAGGGAAGCAAGACCGCGAGGUGGAGCAAAUCCCCGAAAACCGGUCUCAGUUCGGAUUGAAGGCUGCAACUCGCCUUCAUGAAGUUGGAUUCGCUAGUAACAGCGUAUCAGCUACGACGCUGUGAAUACGUUCCCGGGCCUUGUACACACCGCCCGUCACAUCAUGAAAGCCGUCUGCACCCGAAGUUGCCGACGCCAACUCGCAAGAGAGGCAGGCACCUAAGGUGUGGGUGGUGAUUGGGAUGAAGUCGUAACAAGGUA
rnacentral:rRNA from 1 species